UAGGUCCUGCUGAGGAUCCCUGGUGUGCAGUAGGGAACACCAUGAGGAGGAGGCACCAUGAGGAAAGGCACCCUUUCCACUGAUUUACAUCACCAUUUGUACAUGGAGUUCGGCUACAGCAAAAUCCAUUGCUAUCUCACCAGCUACAAGAAGCAAAGAAUCAAUUGUAAUUCAUUUUUGUGCUCUAGGACUUUGGUUGAAGAGCUGCAAAGAGACCCAGCAGGUCACUCGGAAGUUGUGUUCAGUCAGCAUGUGGGACUUCUUCAGAAGAGUUACUGGAAGAUGUUGAGAAGGGAAUGAAGAAUGUAGCUGGAUGGCUCCCUUUUGGAUCCCAUUGUCCUUUGGGAUUUACCCUUGAAGAGCUAACUCUAUACUUCCCGUAUGCAUAAUCAUUAUCAUAAUACUUAUUCCUUUACUAUGCAUGAAGCCACCUUGUCAUGUGAUGUUUUAUUCAAGUCUGAAAGUGAAAAAGUGACCCAGAGCUUAUUCUUUCUCUCUCUCCUGGCCAGGCCUCUAUCAGCUCCAUAAGUGUUUGCUGAAUGAAUGAGUGAUAGGAUGAACUGCAGGUGAACUAAGGGAUUAACUGUGUGGCAAGGAAUACAUGUUUGCCUGAAUUUUUAUCUGGUUAGGUUGUUCUACAACUAAAAAGUCUUUGGGAAUAGGGAAUAUGGGCAAAUUGAAGGGUAUUAUUUAGGUCCUGCUAGCAUUCAAGGUGAGCUUAGGGAUAAGUUAACAGCCUUUCUCCUGUCCCCAAUUUUUAAAAUUAGACUUUUAAAAUUGAGAUAGUUAUAGGUUCACAUCUAAUUUAAGAAAUCAUACAGGGAUUCCUUGUACCCUUCUCCAGUUUCCCCUAGUGGUACAUCUGGUAAAAAAAAAAAAAAAAAAAAAAA